rnacentral:misc_RNA from 1 species
UCUCCGUAGGUGAACCUGCGGAGGGAUCAUUACCGAGUGAGGGCCUCCGGGCCCGACCUCCAACCCUUUUGUGAACCACCUCGUUGCUUCGGGGGCGACCCUGCCGUCCGCGGCGUGGGGCGCCCGAAGCCCUUCAAACCCUGCGUAACUAAGUCGUCGGAGUUUACACAAAUAAACAAAACUUUCAACAUCGGGUCUCUUGGUUCGGGCAUCGAUGAAGAACGCAGC